GUGCCAUCGCCCAGGCAGGUGCAAGGAUGUGUGAAACUGGAGGCGAGAGCCUGGCAGGCUGUACCUGGUGUGGCUGAAAGGAGAUAGGGAGGGAUGCCAGGCAGUCCUUAAGAGGACCUGGGGAAGAUUCAUCUUCAACCCCAGACAAGGGUCAUUCACCUGAAAUGCCAGGACCAGGAAGUCCUGCCGGCUGCAGGCACAGCAUGUCCAACGUGAUUGGAAAUCACUUCCUGCUGUUCAUGUCCUCUUGGAAGGUCAGGUGGCCACUGCAACAAGACUUCUGCAUUCUGGCAAAUGAAUGACUGCACCUGACCCGUGACUCAUGACUCAACUAGUCCUGUGGACCCCGCCUUGAGGUGGACUCAGUGCACCAGGACCAUUUUCCACACCCCUACAAUUUCAUCCCCAACCAAUCAGCAGCACUCAUUCCCUAGCCUGCUGUUCACCAAAUUAGCCAUGAAACCCCUACCUAGACUAGCCUCUGAGUUCUGAGAGAGGCUGAUUUGAGUAAUAAAGUAAUAAACUCCUGUUCUGCUUGGCUAGCCCUGUUUAUUAAACUUGUUCUCUACUGCAAUA
rnacentral:lncRNA from 1 species